UGAACAUUAGGUAAAUGAAUGGGGAAGUUUGACAAGGUAAACUUUGUUUUUUAUAAUCAAUCUACUUUCAUAGAAAAAAUAGGAAGCACUUUCUCUUUGGAAACAUAUUUCUGUUAUUCGCCGUAGCACCCAGUAUACUACUUUUAUGGUUUCACGUCGCCCGUACUAAGAAACAACAAAAAGAUUGAUACUUAUGGCAGGUAUGUUGAAAAAUCAAGUAUUAGAAUAUGUGUUUUAACAAACUUGUAAGUGAUCUAUUAAACUUAUAACCUCUGGGGCUUGCAAGCAGUCAAAAAUUUAGUAACUUUUAACUAAAGAAAUAUUGAAAUUGACCGUAAAAUAUAAUUAAAAUUAAAAGGCUUUAAGUUUAUAUAAAAGUUUACGGCGAAAGAAUUCAGGACAAAAAGAUAAACCGAGAAUUUCGCGCACAUAGUUCUACAAUUAAGAAGAAGAUAUAAACAAGUUUCACAAAUUAUUAUAUUAGAUCGAGUAAAUUUCCAGUAACAAAUACUUUGGUUAAAACUAAAGAAACAAACACCACAUAUUCUAUACCCUUCUAGCAUUGCUCCAAUAAAGCCUUCAACUUAGGUUGCUUUUGAGCGAAGAGAUCCGACUUUUUUAAAGAUAGUUGAUAGAGCUGUCGUACAGAUUCAGUGUCAGGGAAUGUAUCGGAAAUUUUUUCAUUUACUUUGCUUAAUAAUCUUUUCAGUUCCGUUCUUGAUAACUCUAGUAAUUGUUGGCAACACUAUUAAAUUGUUAAUCAUUAAAUUCCUGUUAUAUUCAAAGAAAUAAUAAAUAAAGUUAAAAGCAGGGAUAAAUUACCUUUGAGAUUCCGAACCAACCAUGGAAAUACUCUUCGCAAAUUUCAACCGAGCGACAAUAAUGCUUCAACGAAAACCAAUAGUUAGUUGCAUUACUUUGAGCCAAAACAAAAUAUAAAUCUCCCAAUCGAGCAAAAAGUCGAGGCUCGAAAGGCUGAAGCAACACCAUUUCUUCAUAACAAAAUAUAGCACUUUCAAACCUAUACAAUCAAUUAGAAUUCAGAGAUAAACAGAAAUUCUUUAUGACUUACGCUUCCACUGACACGUAUAUAUCGGCAAGUUCUGCCCAUGCCUCCAAGUCAUUAUAAAAAGUAUCAAGAUAAUUAAUGAGUCCUUGAAUACAUUCUUUCGUUUGUCCCAUAGAACGCAAUAAAGCCAAUUU